GUCGUGCCAAUUGCCUGUUUUAAAAGUCAGAAGCUGAUGCUAGUAGAUGAAUAUAUGCAGCAGCAUAUUGUCUCCAGAGAAACUUGUGUUGGACUGGUUUAGAGUAAAUCCUCUGAAGCUUGCUGGCAGUCGAAUGAGUUCCUGCGAGUGAUGGCAUUUUUGGCGAUUGGCAUUAUUGCUAGCAUGUAUGCGGUUAAUUUAUUUUUGUUGCCCAUUUUAGGGGUUCAAGCAACACAUCCAUAUUUGUCUUGCAGACGCGUAUGUGGUAUUUGUAAAUUUAUCUGUUGUUCAGUAAAUCUAGUGGCCCGUAAUAAAUGCUAAUAUGAUGAAAUGUUUCCUCGAUAGGCUUUUCCUACUUUGAUAAACCAUGGCGGACGGCUGCAGGAGUGAUGAGAAGUCUCAAAAACUUUGGUGUUAUAUUUUGAGAUAUGAUGCGUUCUCCCAUCCUGCCGACAGCAUGGAGGGUUUGUUGUGACACGGUCAUGUACACGAAAUUUUGGUC
rnacentral:lncRNA from 1 species